rnacentral:misc_RNA from 1 species
CGUUCUCUCCUUUUCUUCCUCUUUGUUUCCCCAAAAGAUAAAGGAUGAAUUUAUCAAUGAGUAAAAUGCUGGGGAUGGUUAUACUGAGGAUAAUGAGGUGUCCUCCAAUAGGUGACUUGAGAUAAAGAAAAUAAUUAACAACAUAAAGCUGUUCAACGCAAUAAUAAUUUCUGAAUUGUCAUGUUUUUCUGUCAUCCCUUUCAACAGAGAACAGGAUUGAGCUUCAUUUUAUCAUU